GUGGGGAAUAUUGCGCAAUGGAGGAAACUCUGACGCAGCAACGCCGCGUGAAGGAUGAAGGCCUUCGGGUUGUAAACUUCUUUGAUCGGGGACGAAGAUGACGGUACCCGAGGAACAAGCCACGGCUAACUACGUGCCAGCAGCCGCGGUAAUACGUAGGUGGCAAGCGUUGUCCGGAAUUACUGGGCGUAAAGGGCGUGUAGGCGGGUGAGCAAGUCAGAUGUGAAAUUCCAGGGCUUAACUCUGGCGCUGCAUCUGAAACUGUUCAUCUUGAGUGCUGGAGAGGAAAGUGGAAUUCCCAGUGUAGCGGUGAAAUGCGUAGAGAUUGGGAGGAACACCAGUGGCGAAGGCGGCUUUCUGGACAGUAACUGACGCUGAGGCGCGAAAGCGUGGGGAGCAAACAGGAUUAGAAACCCGAGUAGUCC
rnacentral:rRNA from 1 species